AACGCACAUUGCGCCCUUUGGUAUUCCGAAGGGCAUGCCUGUUCGAGCGUCAUUUCAAACCCUCAAGCUUACGCUUGGUGUUGGGCUUCGUCCAUUCCUUCGGGAGAGGACGUGCCUGAAACUCAUAGGCAGUUGUUUCCAGCUUCUCAGCGUAGUCAUUUUUAACAUCGCUCUGGAGUUUCUGGGCUCAACCCGCCGGAGAACCCCCCCAUUUUUAUCAAGGUUUGACCUCGGAUCAGGUAGGGAUACCCGCUGAACUUAA
rnacentral:misc_RNA from 1 species